rnacentral:snRNA from 1 species
GGUAAGAGGACACUGUGUCUGUAACUCUUUCACUCCACUGAUCACUGCAGUUGAUUCAGCUGACUUGGUCAGUAAGCAGAUGUCUCCUCUGUCCCUCACCACACCACAUCCAUCUCUCUAACCUUGAGGGUUUUUUUGUUUUUUUAUGUCCUUUCCAGACAGAGAUGAGUCAUUCCACAAUCAAGGAUAAGAGUGUCUGUGGCACUUAAAGAUGGCCAUGAAUUCUUUCCUUCUUCCAUUGAGAGAUGAGAUCUAAU